GACGAACGCUGGCGGCGUGCUUAACACAUGCAAGUCGAACGGAAAGGCCCUGCUUUUGUGGGGUGCUCGAGUGGCGAACGGGUGAGUAACACGUGAGUAACCUGCCCUUGACUUUGGGAUAACUUCAGGAAACUGGGGCUAAUACCGGAUAGGAGCUCCUGCUGCAUGGUGGGGGUUGGAAAGUUUCGGCGGUUGGGGAUGGACUCGCUGCUUAUCAGCUUGUUGGUGGGGUAGUGGCUUACCAAGGCUUUGACGGGUAGCCGGCCUGAGAGGGUGACCGGCCAAGCUGGAGCGGAGACGCGGGCCAGAGUCCUACGGGAGGCAGCAGGGGGGAAGCUGCCGCAAAGGGCGAAAGGCUGACGGAGCACCGCGGGGGGAGUGAUGAAGGCCGUGGGAUCGUAAAGCGCUGUAAUUAGGGAAGAAAAUAUGUGUAAGUAACUGUGAAAACCGUGACGGGACCUAAACAGAAAGCCACGACUAACUACGU
rnacentral:rRNA from 1 species